GGGGGCGCUCCAGACACGGAGGAACGGUGAAGUGACGACCUGCUAAGCGGGUUGAGGGUUCAUCCCCUCUCGCGGGUUCAAAUCCCGCCGCCUCCGCCA
rnacentral:tRNA from 1 species